AGGGAGCAAAGCCUGCGCUGGCUGUGGAGGAGCAGGGAGCCAGCCAGAGCUGCAGUCGGAACGCAGGGGUGUGCCCGUAGCUCGGUGCGGCUCCACCAGCUUGUCCCGCUGGAGCACUCCAGUCUCUUACUGAGUGUAUCGUUCUGGCCGCAUCACUUCAGUCUUGUGUCAGCUUCAGAACCACAGGUCCUGGCCAAAGCUGUGCUUCGUCAGUGGGCUGCAAGUAGUUAACUAAGUGAAUCUGUUUCUUCGGUCGAGCUCUCGAAGUGUGAAGUCUAUAGAUGUUUUAGCUGAGAAUCAACAAUUCCUUUUACAUCUUCAUCCAGCAGACCAAAAAUGCGUUUCUAAAAUAACGUUCCUUGAUCUUAGAUUUCAAGCUCCUUCAGAAGGAUUCUCCUUUCUCACCUCCAAGUGCCAACUUUGCGCCCAGCAUGAGCCCUGGGGCAGACCGGUGCUGCUGUGGAGCUGCCACAGCCUCAGCCAGCCGCUGCAGUGAUGGAGAAGUGCCUGCGCGACUGCAAAAUCCACUCCUGAGCUCUGGAUUUCUUCCAGUUCUUCGGCAGCCACUCCCACCCAAAGCCUGUUUGUGCCGGAUUGCCCUCCCGGUGCCAUUUGCAGGGGUGACAGACACAUCAGCCAGGGCUGGGGUGAGGCCAGCCUGGGCACCGGCUGCAGCCCGGCCGCGAUGAUUUACGGCCGCUGGCCGCGGCGAGGAUGGUUUGCGGCUCUGACCUGAUUGUGACCCCAGCAGAUAGCGAGGCAACGUUCGGGCGAAACACAAACAAGAGGUUAAAUGCUCCAGUUCUCAGCUUAGACAGAGCCAAUCACUCUGAGGAGCUCUGUCCCCCCUCUUUAAUUGGUUCUUUAUUCCAUGCAGUAUUUCUUGCGCUGCUCUCUCCCUCCCGCGCCCGUAGACGCAGACUCACCCACCCCCUCUUUAAAACAGCUUCACAGCAGCCACUUUAGAGCCAGGCAGCAGCUCUCCUCUGGAGCUCUUUCCCACCAGCUGGGUAACGUCUCCAGCACCCCUGUUCAGUCUCUCGCGGGUCUCAGCGCUCGCCGUCCCGGGCUGCAGACGCCCUUGCCCUGUUUUUCCGUGGGGAGCGCUGAGCCCGGCAGAGGGCUCCGGGUUUGGCAGCUCUCAGCCUGGUCUCAGCGUGGGUACUACCAAGGCAUCCCUCCCUCCCAGCUUGCUGAGUCCUCUGUGGAAACACGAAUGAGUCACAGACAAUAUGUUGCAGAUCAGCAGCGAGCUGAGUGUGUGUGCCAGGGUAGUCGGAAAGCACAGGAGCGUUGCGUUUGUCUCUGCCCUCAGCAGGAGGAAGGAGGAGGAGGAAAGCUGCAAGUGCCUCCCAAACUGCUGGCUGCUCCAUCUCCUUCUGUGCUUCCCAGCGGUAGAGAUAGAGCACCAAAGAAAGAGAUUGAUGGUGGAGGCUGGAGGGGAGCCCUGGAGAUCGUCUAGUCCAGUCCCCUUGCUAAAGCAGGUUCUUGCAGAGUGGGUUGCCCAGGGUCAGGUCUGGGUGAGUCUGGAAUCUCUCCAGACAAGAAUCAAAUGUGAACGUUUAACAGCGUCCAGAGAAAGUCACUUUCUGCCUGCCUACACAGUGUCUCUUCUGGUGUCCUUCUGGAACAUGCAUCUGGUAAAGGUCAAACUGGAAAUCCUUAAAGUUUGUCCUGAUGAGGGUGACAAAAUCUAUUGAGCUAACCCCUGCAGGAAAGGGUUAAAAUAACCAGUAUUUAACUGGGCACAGCUCUGCACAUACUCACUGCACAGCUGAUCAGCUGGCUGGGGCAGGUUGGUGACAGGUCCAAGAUCAGACAGACAAUUGGAGGGGGUUUAUGCUAAACAGGACCAGCUGGGAAUGAUCCAAAGUGAUUUUGUGUGGCCAAACUUCUCUGACUCUGCAGGGAGGGAAGGCAGGAGGCAAACCCAGGUGUCCUCACUUGGAGCUGUGUUGGGCUGCUCCUGCUGAUGAAUGAGCACAGGACAUAAAUGGUGAACUUUGAUUAAUUCCCAGUGUCCAAAACCUGCUAGAACUUGGCCAUUUGGCCUCAUUGAAAGUGGCACUCAGAUGUCACCGUGAUAGGAAAAGCAGAAACCAGCUCCAGCAGCAGUGGCUGUAAAACAUCAGGAGCAGAAAGUGACAGCUCAGAGUCAUCUCCCUCCCCACCCCUGAAGGAAUACGCCAGCAUAAAGCUGCCCAGCACGAAGGGACCUGCUCACGAGUUCCAUCAACAGAGCUGUGAUGAAUGGAGCUAAAUGAACUGAGGCAGUCCAUAAAAAAAGUGUUUGCUUUCUUUUUUAGACCUGGAAUCGGAGUUUAUGAAGUGAUUGUUCAAGAUAAAUAGGAGCUGCUGUGAGAAGUUCAAACCAGUUUAGGAAACGACCUGUCCCAACCCACCCGUGGUGAUUUUUUUCCCCUCUGAGAGCGAGGUCCUCACCGUGCCACACCGCGCGAUGGUGAAGCAGGUCUGAAGCCUCAGCUCUCGAAGUCACUUCCAGUGGGCCAGGGCAAGGAUCAAGGACUUUGCUGCCACUGCAGGGACCUUGGGCUUCGCUGGCAGCCACCAGGGCUGUUCAUCACCGUCAUCUCCCUGUGCCUCGGCUCAGCCCCCAGCCCCUGCUCCAGGUUCAUUGGCAUGCAGAGCCCAGCAGGAACAAAGGCACACAGAAGGAUUCUGCCUCAUCUCUGCGAGUCCAGAAGUGAAGUGGAGUUUGCCUUGUUCUGCGGCCGCAGUCCCCCAGGACGUGGGGAAUGGUUAUUAAACAGCCCAGGGAGCAGUGUCUAACCUUGA